rnacentral:rRNA from 1 species
AGCGGCGGACGGGUGAGUAACACGUGGGUAACCUGCCCAAGAGACUGGGAUAACACCUGGAAACAGAUGCUAAUACCGGAUAACAACACUAGACGCAUGUCUAGAGUUUGAAAGAUGGUUCUGCUAUCACUCUUGGAUGGACCUGCGGUGCAUUAGCUAGUUGGUAAGGUAACGGCUUACCAAGGCAAUGAUGCAUAGCCGAGUUGAGAGACUGAUCGGCCACAUUGGGACUGAGACACGGCCCAAACUCCUACGGGAGGCAGCAGUAGGGAAUCUUCCACAAUGGGCGAAAGUCUGAUGGAGCAACGCCGCGUGAGUGAAGAAGGGUUUCGGCUCGUAAAGCUCAGUUGGUAGUGAAGAAAGAUAGAGGUAGUAACUGGCCUUUAUUUGACGGUAAUUACUUAGAAAGUCACGGCUAACUACGUGCCAGCAGCCGCGGUAAUACGUAGGUGGCAAGCGUUGUCCGGAUUUAUUGGGCGUAAAGCGAGUGCAGGCGGUUCAAUAAGUCUGAUGUGAAAGCCUUCGGCUCAACCGGAGAAUUGCAUCAGAAACUGUUGAACUUGAGUGCAGAAGAGGAGAGUGGAACUCCAUGUGUAGCGGUGGAAUGCGUAGAUAUAUGGAAGAACACCAGUGGCGAAGGCGGCUCUCUGGUCUGCAACUGACGCUGAGGCUCGAAAGCAUGGGUAGCGAACAGGAUUAGAUACCCUGGUAGUCCAUGCCGUAAACGAUGAGUGCUAAGUGU